rnacentral:rRNA from 1 species
AAUCACUUGUCUUUUAAAUGAAGACCUGUAUGAAUGGCAUAACGAAGGCUUAACUGUCUCCUUUCUCAAGUCAAUGAAAUUGAUCUCCCCGUGCAGAAGCGGGGNNGANNUCAUAAGACGAGAAGACCCUGUGGAGCUUCAGACACAAAGCAGACCUAGCAAACACUCACACAACCCAAGCUAAAAGAAUCCUGCCCUAAUGUCUUCGGUUGGGGCGACCACGGAGAAACAAACAACCCCCGCGCAGAAUAAGAGAACAUCCUCUUAAAAAUGAGAGUCACCACUCCAAAAAACAGAACUUCUGACUACAAGAUCCGGCAACACCGAUCAACGAACCAAGUUACCCCAGGGAUAACAGCGNAAUCCCCUUCAAGAGCCCA